rnacentral:rRNA from 1 species
GAUGAACGCUGGCGGCGUGCCUAAUACAUGCAAGUCGAGCGAACAGACGAGGAGCUUGCUCCUCUGACGUUAGCGGCGGACGGGUGAGUAACACGUGGAUAACCUACUUAUAAGACUGGGAUAACUUCGGGAAACCGGAGCUAAUACCGGAUAAUAUAUUGAACCGCAUGGUUCAAUAGUGAAAGACGGUUUUGCUGUCACUUAUAGAUGGAUCCGCGCCGCAUUAGCUAGUUGGUAAGGUAACGGCUUACCAAGGCAACGAUGCGUAGCCGACCUGAGGGGGUGAACCGCCACACUGGAACUGAGACACGGUCCAAGCUCCUAAGGGAGGCAGCAGUAGGGAAUCUUCCGCAAUGGGCGAAAGCUUGACGGAACAACGCCGCGGGAGUGAUGAAGGUCUUCGGAUCGUAAAACUCUGUUAUUAGGGAAGAACAAAUGUGUAAGUAACUAUGCACGUCUUGACGGUACCUAAUCAGAAAGCCACGGCUAACUACGUG